AAUUCUGUCAAUUGCAAUAGGUUAGCAGCAAUUGUUUUAGGCAGUUUCAGUCACAUUCAUCACAUCUGCCUGUCAACAGGACAUAAACAAUGACUAUUCUAUUAAAACGUUGCUUUCUGUCCCACUGUAUUGAGUGAUUCUGACAUUUGUCUUAUUGGUGGAAGAAAAAAAAAGGAGGAAGGCAGCUUUGGAAGCUAGUAAUCUUCCUGCAUUUCUGUCUAAAGAGAGUGAAUUCGUGUACUCCAUCAGGAAACAGAGGAUGACACGUGUAAAAAUUAAGUAAUUGCUUGUCAGAACCAAGUCAAAUAAUCUGCUCACUUCAUGCUGAUAGGCACUCAGCUUUUCUGCACACUUGAUGCACUGCGGCUCCCUGAUGUUUUCCUGUUGAGCAAGGAUACAGCAAGAGGCCAGAGCUGCGAGUAGCUGUUGGUUUCAAACAAUUCCGUUUUGCACAGGGGAAGACAAGUCAGACCGAGAAUUGGAAUCUUGAUGCAAACAAUAAUCUGCUUCUGAUACAAAUUUGUCAACAACAAGCCCAAUAUUCAUACAUCUUAUUUCGUAUUCCACUGAAUAUUAAAAAUAUCAGUACCUUAAAUUUGUACAGUGUUUUCCCCAAACUCCAACAAGAUUUGGUUUGUAGCUGAAUAUGUGUUAUCUUAAGUAAUAUGUUCUAAAAGGGACAGCAUACCAACAGCCCUGCUGAGCUUUCGCCUGAGAAGACAUUUCCUACUUUUGGACAAUGAUCGCAUCACAGAGGAGCAUAUACUAUACUAUCCAAGCUUCUAUUUUUACGCGUAAUAAUUAAAAAUAGUUUGAACAACUGAACUGCAGUUGAACGAGACUGGCAUUCAUAAAGGCAUCUUUCACUCCCUUUUCUGAGCAUCUCCAAAACCUUUACAGCCAAUGAAGCAUCUGUAAACAGCAAAAAGGUUAAUGGGUCUGUAAGUGAUGUUCAUUAAACGAACCGUAUUGGCCAGGACAUCAGCCUCUCCUAUCCUUUCUUCCCAAUAGUGAUGUCCCACUGAAAGGACUGAUGUCAAAGUAAAUUUAUCACCCAAGUACAUACAUGCCACCAUAUACUACCUUGUGAUUCAUUUUCUUGCAGGCAUUUACAGGAAAAUGAAUAAAUACUGUAGAAUUGAUGAAAAACGCUGUACAUAUGACUGAUGAACAAUAAGAAGACAAAGUGUGCGAAUAAAAAGAUCAAUAAUACUGAGAAUAUGGAAUGUAGAGUCUUUAAAAGUGAGUCUGCAGAUUGUGGAAUCACUUCAGCUUUGAAGUGAGUGCUAGUUCAGGACCUUGAUGGUUGUAGGGCAGGGAUGGCCAACCUAUGGCGCAUGUGCCAACAGUGGCGCACUGGAUGAUUAGAAGUGGUGCACUGCACCCCAGUGAUAAUCAUAAAAAAGUAAGCCUACUCAUGCAAAAAGUAUUAACCAAAAACCGAUUUGGAGAGAAAAAAAAUCUAUAACAGGAAUUCAAGUAGCUUAAAUGGGUUUUACUGAGAACAAAUCUAAAACUUACCUAUUAUUUUUAGUGAUUUUAUUAUUUUGUGCACAUCUUUUGGCGAAUGUUAUCUCUGUUUUCAAUUUUUAAAAAAUGUUCAAUGAGCCAAACUAGGAAUGAAGGACUUUUGUUCUGCAGUCGUUCCAUUAACUGUUCAACACACGUUUGAUACUUGUUUGAUCCUGAGGUGCCAGACGUCUGCACCAACGGUGCGUUGCAGGAGCUGUGCUUUGCUUUUCGAAAAUUAAGCCUUGUUUUUACCCAUCACAGUGCAAAAGAAAAGCAGAAGGUGAUAGUAAGUGUGAAUUCAAUGAACAGUGGGAAAAUGAGUUCCUAUUUAUAGCGGGUCUGUCAGGAAAACCAUUGUGUAUUGUUUGUAAAAACAUAUUCUCACAUAAUAGAAGACAUGGUCUUAAUAGACACUAUAAAACACAACAUCAGACUGAAAUAGAAGGAAAACUGAAGCUACUGCUUGGGUCUGAGAUACGGAAAGAAUCUGUGAUUAAGAAAAAGGAAGAAAUCAAAAGAAGACAAAAUAUAUUUGUUAAAAACCUCAUUAAGGGCUCUCUGAUAUUGAGAACAUCUGAUUACCUGGUUUCUAAACAGUGAAACUCCACAGACCUUCAUCAAGAAAACUGACUUGAAUGUCAACGUCCCCUGCCCCGAAAGAAGUCAUCGGUGGAAGUGGAAAACAAGGCAAGAAUUCUAGGAGAGGGGUUGCUAUCACCAAGCUACAUCAUGAAGGAGAUGCAGGCGACAACUCUGAUACGUUCGAUGCUUGUGCGAAAUUCAGCCGAAUAAAAAGAUGGAAAGAUGCUGCCUGACCUGCUGAGUUCCUCCAGCAUUUUGCGUGUGUUGUUCUGGAUUUCCAGCAUCUGCAGAAUCUCUUGCGUUUCCAUAGCACUAAAGGAUCGAACAGCACCAGGAUAAGGAAAGGUAAUGUUAUUAAGGUUCCUUUUUCUGGUCAUUGAGUUCUGUUCCUUUUUUUAGUGCUGAUUAUGUAAACAAUAUGCUCAAUACAGAUUAAGUGAGUGGGCAAGAGAGUAGUCAGUGGAUUUCGUUAUGGAGAAAAUGUGUAGCUACCUAUUUACAGUAGGUUUGAAAAGCAAUGCUUAAAGUCUUCACAGACUGCUUCUUGCUAGAAUUCAGGAGCUGGGGAGCCCUUGUACAUAAAAGUACCGAAAUAUAAUGCAGACAGAGCAAAUAUUUACAGAAACAAACAAUAUCCUUUAUCAUAAAAUGGAUUAGCAUACAAGCAUAAAGACUUAUGGCAACUGUGCUGGGUGUUGGCAAGACUAU